rnacentral:lncRNA from 1 species
UUUUUUGGCUGUACCCAUAGCAUGCAGAAAUUCCUAGGCCGAGGAUCCAACCCAAAACACAGCAAUGACAACAAGCCACAGGAAUGGCAGCACUGAGUCCUUAACUGCUAGGCCACCAGGGAACUCCCUAUAAGAAUUUUAAGUCUCAUUAGAAGUUAAAGCUCUUCAAAGGGACCCUCAAAAAGUCAGCAGCACUGUCCAGAAGUACAACUAAAAUAUGGCUUUCCCAUCACACAAGACACAACAAAAGUGGGAAAACCGGAAGGGCCAAUCUGGACACACAGAGAGUCUGGAUGGAGGGGAGGGAGGCCGGGCUGGGAGGCAGCACUGUCGAGAGCUGGCAUCCACUUCGUGACCUGUGGCCUCCAGCCGACCUUUGGGGGCUUUUCCCUCGAGCCUGGGAACCCUCACCUUGGACAUUGCCAACAAUCGUGGCUGGUGACAAGGGAGAAAUCACAGUUGUCCUUAAACAGCUGCUAAAGGCCAAGUACUGUGAUACAGUUUAUCCACAAUUCGUCCACAACCACCCUCUCCACUAGUUACAAUUAUCCCCCGCUUCCUGAGAGACGAACUCGCUCGGAAGCAGUACAGUCCGUAGUCAAAAGGCGGUCCUUUCAACUCUAAAAGCAGGAAGCGAGCUAACCUCAUCCCGGGUUCGAGAAGGGAGGAAAAGAGGAAUCUCAGGCUCCCUGGAGGUGAGAGAGGCAGGUUCAAAGACAGCUUAGCCCAAGUUAGAACUCCAAAGGGAUCUGCUCAUGAAAAGACACUGGCAUUCAGCAUUUUUAGCAACAUGGAUGGACCUAGAAACGAUCAUGCUAAGUGAAGUCAGCCAUACAAUGAGACACCAACAUCCAAUGCUUUCACUGACAUGUGGAAUCUGAAAAAAGGACAGACGGAACUUCUUUCCAGAACAGAUGCUGACUCACAGACAUUGAAAAACUUAUGGUCUCCGGAGGAGACAGUUUGGGAGGUGGGGGGAUGUGCUUGGGCUGUGGGAUGAAAAUCCUGUGAAAUCAGAUUGUGAUGAUCAUUAUACAACUACAGAUGUGAUAAAUUCAUUUGAGUAAUAAAAAAAAAAAAAGAAAAGACACUGGUAUUGGUUCUGCAGCAUUUGUAAGCAUUAGACAGCAGGAUGCCUCAGCUACCUUACAAGUCGAGUGGGCUUUCUUCUAUUAGCCCAAGGUCACAAGCAUCAUUUAUCAUAGUUUUAUGGAGUUGGUUUCCCCAAAUAAACUUUUAAAAUACAAUUUAGUCACUUAUUCAUUUAAAUAUUGCAGUACCUCUUAUGGACUUGGGAGGGGGCAGUGAACAAAACAGGCCAAAAACCUCCAGCUCUAAUGGAAAGGUGACUAUGGACAGAGGAAAAUCGCCAUGAAGGAACUAUGGUUAUUUUUAUUAGGUGUAUGAAUUGGGUGGUGGUGACAUGGGAGAGUAUGUUCUUAGUCAUCUGGAAAUGCAUCUUGAAAUA